rnacentral:rRNA from 1 species
CGAGUGGCGAACGGGUGAGUAACGCGUGAGGAACCUGCCUCAAAGAGGGGGGAAACAGUUGGAAACGACUGCUAAUACCGCAUAAGCCCACGACCCGGCAUCGGGAAGAGGGAAAAGGAGCAAUCCGCUUUGAGAUGGCCUCGCGUCCGAUUAGCUAGUUGGUGAGGUAACGGCCCACCAAGGCAACGAUCGGUAGCCGGACUGAGAGGUUGAACGGCCACAUUGGGACUGAGACACGGCCCAG